GACGAACGCUGGCGGCGCGCCUAACACAUGCAAGUCGAACGAGCGAGAGAGAGCUUGCUUUCUCGAGCGAGUGGCGAACGGGUGAGUAACGCGUGAGGAACCUGCCUCAAAGAGGGGGACAACAGUUGGAAACGACUGCUAAUACCGCAUAAGCCCACGGCUCGGCAUCGAGCAGAGGGAAAAGGAGCAAUCCGCUUUGAGAUGGCCUCGCGUCCGAUUAGCUAGUUGGUGAGGUAAUGGCCCACCAAGGCAACGAUCGGUAGCCGGACUGAGAGGUUGAACGGCCACAUUGGGACUGAGACACGGCCCAGACUCCUACGGGAGGCAGCAGUGGGGAAUAUUGCACAAUGGGGGAAACCCUGAUGCAGCGACGCCGCGUGGAGGAAGAAGGUCUUCGGAUUGUAAACUCCUGUUGUUGAGGAAGAUAAUGACGGUACU
rnacentral:rRNA from 1 species